rnacentral:snRNA from 1 species
GUGCUUGCUUUGACAGCACAUAUAUCUAAAAUUGGAACGAUACAGAGAAGAUUAGCAUGGCGUCUGCUCAAGGAUGACACGCAAAUUCGUGAAGCAUUCCAUAUUAAA